rnacentral:rRNA from 1 species
ACGACGCUGGCGGCGUGCUUAAUACAUGCAAGUCAACUUGACUUUAGAUAGCAAUAUCGAAAAGUAGGGUGGCGCACGGGUGCGUAACGCGUAGGUAAUCUGCCCUGAGGUCUGACAUAACCCGUCGAAAGGCGGGCUAACAUCAGAUGAUAUAUAAUCACGACAUCGUGGAAAUAUCAAAUCUUCGGAGCCUUGGGAUGAGCCUGCGUCUGAUUAGGUAGUUGGCGGAGUAAUAGCCCACCAAGCCUACGAUCAGUAGCUGGUCUGAGAGGAUGAUCAGCCACACUGGAACUGAGACACGGUCCAGACUCCUACGGGAGGCAGCAGUAAGGAAUAUUGCUCAAUGGGGGGAAACCCUGAAGCAGCAACGCCGCGUGAAGGAUGAAAUACCUUUGUAUGUAAACUUCUGUAAGAUGGGAAAAAUAUUCUCCUCGGGAGAAUUGAUUGUACCAUCAGAGUAAGCCCCGGCUAACUACGUG